CACAAGAACUCUAACUUUCAUUUUCAACAGUACCUAUUUCUUCUUUUCCCGACUCAAUCAACUACAGUAUUAUCAGCGUUUCCCUUUGAUUCAACUAAUAAGAACUUUCAAGCGAUCAGGAGAUACGAUUAGUAGACAUGUGAACACGGUGUUGAAAGGAGUUAUUAGGCUUCAAGGAGAGUUGUUAAAAGAACCGGUAGCAGUCUCUACAAGUUCUGUUGACCAGAGAUGGAACUGCUUUAAGAACUGCCUAGGGGCAUUAGAUGGAACACAUAUUAGUGUCCACGUUGCAACAGCAGACAAGCCUAGGUAUCGUACAA